AUCUACAACAUGGAGAUGGCUCGA
rnacentral:piRNA from 1 species